rnacentral:tRNA from 1 species
CGCGGGAUAGAGCAGUUUGGUAGCUCGUCGGGCUCAUAAUCCGAAGGUCGUAGGUUCGAAUCCUACCCCGCAACCA